UACGUAGGUGGCAAGCGUUGUCCGGAUUUACUGGGCGUAAAGGGCGUGCAGGCGGUUUGUUAAGUGCAGGGUGAAAGCUCCCGGCUCAACUGGGAGAGGUCCUUGCAUACUGGCAAACUCGAGGGAGGCAGAGGAAAGUGGAAUUCCCGGUGUAGUGGUGAUAUGCGUAGAUAUCGGGAGGAACACCAGUGGCGAAGGCGGUUACCUGGAGCUUUGCUGACGCUGAUGCGCGAAAGCGUGGGGAGCGAUCCGG
rnacentral:rRNA from 1 species